AGAAUGGGGCAAUAUCAACUGAUA
rnacentral:snRNA from 1 species